GUCGGAGUGGCGGAAUUUGGUAGACGCGCAUGGUUGAGGGCCAUGUGCCCGCUAAGGGCGUGGGGGUUCAAGUCCCCCCUCCGACA
rnacentral:tRNA from 2 species